GUAAACGGGGCCUAAGCUUCCUGAAAAGGUCCCAUCUCAAGAGGAAUGUAAGAAGACUGUAGAUGACAAUCUGGAGGAAAUAAAGAGAAAAGAAGCUGCCAACUCCACUCUUUUUGAGGCAAACCGACGUGAAGAAAGGCCAAGGCAGGAAUUUGGCCAAAAGUAACAGAGCAACAGAGCUACCGGAGAAGGUUAACUGCAAAGAAAGAAACGGUUAACAGCAAGGCAGAAAAAUCCAUAAAAGGCAACUKAAGUUUUAGCUUCAGUCAAUAAGGGAACAAGGUAAAGCUCUUAUGGUGGUUGAUGAAAAAGGACGGCUUUAAUAAAUCAUCAUUUUACCAUCCGGCCUUUGAAAGGUUGACUCAAUGCAACAUUGUGUAUGACAAUCUGGAGGAUAUAAAGAUGAAAGAAGCUGCCAACAACAUCCUUUUGGAGCCAAAGCGACGUGAAGAAAGGCCAAGGCAGGAAUUUGGCCAAAAGGUGUGUGACAAAAAGGAGAGGGAGAAGAAAUCUGCAAUAAAACAGUCUCUGACUGACACAUGGGCUGCCCUAAUUAAAAAUAAACAACAGAAGAAUAUGGAGAUGGACCAGAUUGAAAGACAACAAAUGGUUGCCAUAAUGGAAUCAGAAAAGUUGUGACCAAUUGAGGAAAUUGAGAAGAGGAGCCUGAAGAAGGAGAAAGAACAUAAUUUUUUCAAAUGGGCUUGCCUAAAAUUACAAAAGAUUUCAAACCUGACAGCACGACAAAGCCAAAAGAAACUGGACAAAUGCAGAAGAGAGAUCGGAGAAUUACACCACAACUGAUUGUAAUAUUGACUUCAGCUCACAUUUCAUUUCAUGUUUGAAAGACAGAAUUGAUAUUCAGACAUGUAUUGAUCAAGAUAAUGAGUUUGAAAGAAAGAUGGGAUGCUGAAAUUUGCAAAUUGCAGGAGAAGAAACAGAGACCUAGACCACAAAAUGUUUAUGCACGGGAUUUGGAAAAAAGAAGGAAGAAGCUACACAAAGAUAAGUUGUUGAGAGAAAUAAAACAUUGGGAAUUUGCAGAGCGAAAGCAUGAAAAACUGGAGAAAGAGAAACAAGCUGCAGCUAUCAAGUCUCUGACUGAUUCGUGGGAUUCCCAGAUACGAAUCAGAAAAAGGAACUUUGUGAGAUUGAAAGGAAAGACAUGCUUUCCUUAAUUGAAUUGGAAAAAGUGUGUGAAAGUCAAAAGAACAAAAAGUGUCAGAAACACAAACUUGCUGCUUAUCAAGAAGUUCAGGAGACUCUAGCAGAAGCAAGAUCAUGGAGAAGUUGCUCCAAGAACUGUGCAGGGAGAUCGGUGUAUUCUGCUGACAAACAUGAUGACGCAAAAACCAGCAAUGUUUGCAGAACUUUACUGAGUCGUCAGAAAGUUAGCAAUACCAAUGUUGUCAAACUUCCCUCAAUGGACUCCAACUCUGUGCACCUCCCUGAGAAUUGCCAACAGACCCAUUCAUGACCCAUUUGUAGGGCUUCUAAGAAGAAUUUGAAAAAAUCAAAUGAGAAACAGGUGAAUUGCCCCACAACUAAAUCUAACAUUAGUGUAAGCUCAGGGAAACCAACUUUCCCGUGCUCAAGUAAAACAGGGGGCCAUUCUUGCACGUACAGAUUGUAUGAGAAAUGUAAAAAGACUUUGCAAGACAAGCUGAAAACUAUAAGGAAGAAACAAGCUGCCAACAAAGUUCUAUUAAGGGAAAAGCAACUUGAAGAAAUGGAAGAGCAGGAAUUUUGCUCAAAAGUUACGUAUUCCCAAGACAAACAAGGACAUACAGGAGAGGGAAAAGAGAGCUGUAAUACAAAAGUCUAAUGCACAGGAUGGAGAAAAUGGAAAGUGAAAAACAGAAGAAGAGGAAGCUAAAAGACUGGAAGCAAGAACAAGAACAGAAACUCAACAAACAGGUUACUGAAAAUGCAGAGGACCAAGUCAUAAUGCAACGGCAAAAAUAUAGCAUUAGUGAAGGGAUUCGGUUAGAAUAUGUACAUGACGAGAGGGAGAAAAAUGUUCCUGAAAAGGUUAAGUUUCAAGAGAAAUGUAAGAAGAUGGAAAAUGACAAUCUGGAGAACAUAAAGAGAAUGAAGAUGCCAAAGACGCUUUAAAGGAGGAAAAGUUUUAUAAAGAAAUGGCCAAGCAGGAGUUUGCCCAAAAGUUACUUGACAGGAGAGAGAAAAGAAAGAAAAGAAAGUUGAAAUGCAAAAGACUUUGACUGAUGCAUGGGAUGGUCAAGUUGAAUAUAAACGGCAGAAGAAGAUAGAAAUGGAAAAGGUUAAAAAGCAAGCAUCUUAUUUAUUGAUGGAAUCAGAAAAGUUUUAUCAAAUGGAGGAAGUUGAGAAGAAGAAACGGAAGAAGCAGCAGAAUCUCAGGACGCAGGACAAGACUGAGCAAAACAUGAGGGACCAAAUGAUAACACAGUGUGAAAUAUAUCAGUGUUGGUGACCCAAAUGAAGGCUUUCAAUCUACAUCAGUGUUUGUACAACAUGAGUGAGAUGAAGCUUCCUGAAAAGUUUAAUUCUCUAGAGGAAUCUAGAAAGAUUGUUUAUGACAAUCUGGAUAAUAGAAAGAGAAAAGAAGCUGCCAACUACACUCUUUUGGGGAAAAAGUGUUGUAAAGACAGGGCAAAGCAGCAGUUAGGCCAGAAGUUAUGAGAGGAACAGGAGAGGGACAAGAAAGCCGAUUUGAAAAAGUCUCUGUCUGACACAUUGGAUGAACAAAUUCAAUGUAAACAACAGAAGAAGAAGAAGAAGAAAAUAGCUUAAAUUGAAAGGCAACAAAUGGCUGCCAUAAUGGAGUCAAAUAGACUGCAUCAAAUAUAGAAAAUGGAGAUGAGGAGACAGAAGAAAGAGAAAGACCGGAAAUUUUUGAGAGAGUUUGAAAGUGCCUUUCUUUCAAACAUGCCUAAAAUUACAAAAGAUUUAAGACCUGAAAGACCUGAAAAUAUGACAGAACCAAAAGAAGCCAGACAGGAAAAUUGCACCACAACUGAUUCUGAUAUUGACUUCAGCUCUCAUUUUAUUUCAUGCUGGAAAGACAGAAUUGAUAUUCAGACAUGCAUUGACCAAGAUAAUGAAUUUCAAAGAGCACAGGAGUUGAAAGAAAGACACGAAGCCGCACUUCGCAAAUUACAGGAGAAGAAACGGAGACCUAGACCAUAAAAUGUUUACACACAGGAUGUGGAUAAUUGGAAAGACAAGCAGGAGAAAAAUAUAUCAAAAAUAUUGUUGCAAAUUGACAGACAGGGACAAAAAGCUCUCAACUUGUCCACAGCUAAAUCCAAUGAGGUUUCUGAAAUAGACAAACAUGACUAACAGUUUAAAAAGUCUUUGUCAUGUAAAAAAGAACAGAAACUCAACAAACAUGUUGCUGAAACUGCAGAGGAACAAGUCGUAAUAAAAUGGCAAAAACAGAGUUGGUGAAGGCAUUCGGUCAGAAUAUGUACAUGACGAGAGGGAGAAAAAUGUUCCAGAAAAGAUUAAAUUUCAAGAGAAAUGUAAGAAGAUGGUCUAUGAUAAUCAGGAGGAUAUAAGGAGACAAGAAGAUGCCAAAGAUUCUUUACAAGAGAAAAAGUUUUAUAAAGAAAUGGCCAAGCAGGAGUUUGCCCAUAAGUUACUUGACAAACAGGAGAGAGAAAAGAAAGUUGAAAUGCAAAAAUCUUUGACUGAUGCAUGGGAUGGUCAAGUUGAAUAUAAACAUCAAAAGAAGAAGGAAAUAGCUUGAAUUCAAAGGCAAGAACUGGCUGCCAUAAUAGAGUCAGACAGACUGCAUCAAAUUGAGGAAAUUGAGAUGAGGAGACAGAAGAAAGAGAAAAACCGGAAAUUUAUGAGACCAGAUGAGACUGAGCCAAACAUGGAAGACCAAAAGAAGACUGUGGAAUACAAUGUAUAUAUCCUCAAUAUAUUUAUAUAGUUAGAGGAUAUAUAGAGGAAAGAAGCUGCCUACGACUCUUUUUUACAAAAAAAGGCUAUGUAACAAUAUGGAGGAAGUUGAGAAGAAGAAACAGAAGAAGCAACAGAAUCUCAGCACAUAGGAUGAGACUGAGCAAAACAUGAGGGACAAUAUGAUAACACAGUGUGAAAUAUAUCAGAGUGUUGGUGACCCAAAUGAAUACUUUCAGUCUAUAUCAGUGUUUGUACAACAUGAGAGUGAGAUGAAGCUUCCUGAAAAGUUUAAUUCUCUAGAGGAAUGUGAGAAGAUUGUUUAUGACAAUAUAGAUGAAAUAAAGAGGAAAGAAUCUUCCAGCUACGCUCUUUUGGAGGCCAAGGGAAGUGAGGAAAGAGCAAAGCAGAAAUUUGGCCACGAGUGAAAUGAGAUUUCCUGAAAAGUUUACUUCCCUAGAAGAAUGUAAGAAGAUUGCAUAUGACAAUCUGGACAAUAGAAAGAGAAAAUAAGCUGCCAACUACACUCUUUUGGAGGAAAAGUGUUGUAAAAAGAGGGCAAAGCAGCAGUUAGGCCAGAAGUUACAAGAGGAACAGGAGAGGGAGAAGAAAGCCAAUUUGAAAAAGUCUCUGACUGACACAUCGGAUGCUCAAAUUCAAUAUACACAUCAGAAGAAGAAGGAAAUAGCUUAAAUUGAAAGGCAAGAACUGGCUGCCUUAAUAGAGUCAGAUAGACUGCAUCAAAUUGAGGAAAUUGAGAUUGAGGAGACAGAAGAAAGAGAAAAACCGGAAGUUUUUGAGACAGGAUGAGACUGAGCCAUACAUGGAAGACCAAAAGAAGACUGUGGAUGACAAUUUAUAUAUCCUCAAUAUAUUUAUAUAUUUAGAGGAUAUAUAGAGGAAAGAAGCUUCCUACGACUCUCUUUGACAAAAGAAGCUAUGUAACAAUAUGGCCAAGGAGGAGGCUGCCAAAAUGCUACAUGAAGCACAUCAGCAGGAGAAGAAAUCUCCAAAGCAAAAGCCUCUGGCUGAUGAACUGGCUGCCCGAUAUCAAUAUAAACAGAAACAGAAGAGGGAAAUGGACAGGACUGAAAGGCAAGGGGUGCUUCCUGGAUAUCGAGCUGAGGAAAUUGGAGCCAGGAGACAAAAGAAGGAUCCCCAGCAGAAACUGAAGACACAGGAUGAGACUAAAAAAAACAUAUCAACAACCCAGAAGUAAUGCAGUGGGAAAUGUAUCGCAGUGUUACUGAGCAAAAAAGAGAUGUUCAGGAUGAAUCUGGUUUUCUAGACUAUGAGAGUGAUAGCGACAUUCCUGAUAAGGACAGAAGUCGUGAAAUACGUAAAAAAAAUAGUGUACGACCAACUGUCACUUAUAAAGAAGGAAGAAGAUAAAAAAAGGCCUUUUUUGGAGGAUAAACUGUUGAAAGAAAUGAAACAUCAGGAAUCUGCAGAGCAAAAGCGUAAAAAAACUGGAGAAAGAGAAAAAAGCUGCAGCUAUCAAGUCUCUGACUGAUUCGUGGGAUUCCCAGAUACAAUUUAAACAGCAACAGAAAAAGGAACUUUGUGAGAUUGAAAGAAAGAUAUGCUUUCUUUAAUUGAAUUGGAAAGAGUGUGGACAGAAAUGUAAGAUGAAUUCCCGUCGAUUACCCAGGAGGGUUAUCCCUUUGAUGAAGACGAUGAAGAUAGAACCAGAUGACGAUCUGAACAAGAGUAUCAAAAUUCAAGACGAGGAUUGUAAUUUAAGUGCAUUUCUUUCAGGCUUGCCUAAAAUUACGAAACUUUUCAAACCUGACAGCACGACAGAACCAAAAGAAACUGGACAAAUGCAGAGGAGAGACCGGAGAAUUGCCCGACAACUGAUUGUAACAUUGACUUCAGCUCACAUUUCAUUUCAUGUUUGAAAGACAGAAUUGAUAUUCAGACAUGUAUUGAUCAAGAUAAUGAACUUCAAAGAGUACAGGGGUUGAAAGAAAGAUGGGAUGCUGAAAUUUGCAAAUUACAGGAGAAGAAACAGACCUACACCACAAAAUGUUUACGCACGGGAUUUGGGGAAUUGGAGAGACAAGCAGGAGAAAACUGCAAGAAGCUAAAAGACUGGAAGCAAAAACAUUGUGUCCAAAAGAGAAAGAGACAAAAAGCUCUCAACUUGUCCACAUCUAAAUCCAAUGAGGUUUCUGGACAAGACACACAUGACAAACAGUUUAAAAAGUCUUUGUCAUGUAAAAAAGAACAAACUCGUCAUACAGGUUACUGAAAAUGCAGAGGAACAAGUCGUAAUGAAAUGGCAAAAAUAUAAUAGUAUUAUUGAAGGGAUUCGGUCAGAAUAUGUACAUUGCGAGAGGGAGAAAAAUGUUCCUCAAGAUGUUGAAUUUCAAGAGAAAUGUAAGAACAUGGAAAAUGACAAUCUGGAGAACAUAAGGAGAAAACAAGAUGCCAAAGACGCUUUAAAGGAGGAAAAGUUUUAUAAAGAAAUGGCCAAGCAGGGGUUUUCCCAAAGGUUACUUGACAAACAGGAGAGAGAAAAGAAAGUUAAAAUGCAAAAGUCUUUGACUGAUGCAUGGGAUGGUCAAGUUGAAUAUAAACGGCAGAAAAAGAUGGAAAUGGUCAAGGGUCUUAUUCCUCAAUGGAAUCAGAACGGUUUUAUCAAAUGGAGGAAGAUGAGAAGAUGAAACGGAAGAAGCAGCAGAAUCUCAGCACACAGAAUGAGACUGAGCAAAAUAUGAGGGACCAAAUGAUAACACAGUGUGAAAUAUAUCAAAGUGUUGGUGACCCAAAUAAAGGCUUUCAAUCUACAGUGUUUGUACAACAUGAAAGUGAGAUGAAGCUUCCUGAAAAGUUUAAUUCUCUAGAGGAAUGUAAGAAGAUUGUUUAUGACAAUAUAGAUGAAAUAAAGAGGAAAGAAUCUUCCAGCUACGCUCUUUUGGAGGCCAUGGGAAGUGAGGAAAGAGCAAAGCAGAAAUUUGGCCACGAGUGAAAUGAGGUAUCCUGAAAAGUUUAUUUCUCUAGAAGAAUGUAAGAAGAUUGCAUAUGACAAUCUGGACAAUAGAAAGAGAAAAUAAGCUGCCAACUACACUCUUUUGGAGGAAAAGUGUUGUAAAAAGAGGGCAAAGCAGCAGUUAGGCCAGAAGUUACAAGAGGAACAGGAGAGGGAGAAGAAAGCCAAUUUGAAAAAGUCUCUGACUGACACAUCGGAUGCUCAAAUUCAAUAUACACAUCAGAAGAAGAAGGAAAUAGCUUAAAUUGAAAGGCAAGAACUGGCUGCCAUAAUAGAGUCAGAUAGACUGCAUCAAAUUGAGGAAAUGGAGAUUGAGGAGACAGAAGAAAGAGAAAAACCAGAAAUUUUUGAGACAGCAUGAGACUGAGCCAUACAUGGAAGACCAAAAGAAGACUGUGGAUGACAGUUUAUAUAUCCUCAAUAUAUUUAUACAUUUAGAGGAUAUAUAGAGGAAGGAAGCUUCCUACAAUUCUCUUUUGCAAAAAGGGCUAGGUAACAAUAUGGCCAAGGAGGAGGCUGCCAAAAUGCUACAUGAAGCACAUCAGCAGGAGAAGAAAACUCCAAAGCAAAAGCCUCUGGCUGAUGAACUGGCUGCCCGAUAUCAAUAUAGACAGAAACAGAAGAGGGAAAUGGACAGGACUGAAAGGCAAGGGGUGCUUCCUGGAGCUGAGGAAAUUGGAGCCAGGAGACAGAAGAAGGAUCCCCAGCAGAAACUGAAGACACAGGAUGAGACUAAAAAAAACAUAUCAACAACCCAGAAGUAAUGCAGUGGGAAAUGUAUCACAGUGUUACUGAGCAAGGAAGAGAUGUUCAGUAUGAAUCUGGUUUUCUAGACUAAGAGUGACUGCGACAUUCCUGAUAAAGACAGAAGUCGUGAAAGACGUAAAAAAAUGGAAGGAAGAAGCUAAAAAAGGCCUUUUUUGGAGGAUAAACUGUUGAAAGAAAUGAAACAUCAGGAAUCUGCAGAGCAAAACGUGAAAAACUGGAGAUAGAGAAAAAAGCUACAGCUAUCAAGUCUCUGACUGAUUCGUGGGAUUCCCAGAUACAAUUUAAAUAGCAAUAGAAAAAGGAACUUUGUGAGAUUGAAAGGCAAUACGUACAUGCUUUCCUUAAUUGAAUUGGAAAGAGUGUGUGAAAGUCAAACGAAUAAAAAGCAUCAGAAACACAAACUUGCUGCUUAUCACGAAGUUCAGGAGACUCUAGCAGAAGCAAGAUCAUGGAGAAGUUGCUCCAAGAACUGUGCAGGAAGAUCGGUGUAUUCUGCUGACAAACAUGAUGACGCAAAAACCAGCAAUGUUUGCAGAACUUUACUGAGUCGUCAGAAAGUUAGCAAUACCAAUGUUGUCAAACUUCCCUCAAUGGACUCCAACUCUGUGCACCUCCCUGAGAAUUGCCAACAGAACUGUAAAAGGUUACUGAGAUGUCGGACUUGUUUGUCUUUACUGGUGAUGAAAACACGUCACUCUGGAGGAGAGGAAGAGCGGCUCACCUCAGUCCAGGAUCACCACAGUGUGAGGGUAGCUAUUAAAGUCUACAGGUAGACUUUUGUAUAUCCUCCGGUUUCCAGAUCCUAAUUUAACUGAGUAAAUAAUAAGUUGGUCCAUUCAGUGAUGAUCCGGCUGAACCUGGACGGAUGGACGCCGUGAUGGUCAGCAAGGUCCCAUUUCCUGGAUCCUAGGGAAAGCAGGAAGUUGUGAAUAGAGUUUAAAAGCUGCUCCAGGACUGCAGACAUUCACAGGAAGCUGGAUCAGCCAUGGUUGUGCUGAAGGUUCUGCUGGUGCUGGUGCUGGUGC